GCCCGGAUGGCGGAAUUGGUAGACGCGCACGCUUCAGGUGCGUGUGCCGUAAGGUGUGUGGGUUCGACUCCCACUUCGGGUA
rnacentral:tRNA from 1 species